GAGAAGAACGUAGCGAAAUGCGAUAAUUAAUGUGAAUUGCAGAAUUCCGUGAAUCAUCGAGUUUUUGAACGCAUAUUGCGCCCCUUGGUAUUCCGAGGGGCAUGCCUGUCCGAGCGUCAUUGCAACCCUUCAAGCACGGCUUGUGUGUUGGACGGCCGCCCCAGUGUGGGCGGGUCCCAAAUGCAGUGGCGGCGCCGCGAUCCGGGUGCUCGAGUGCAUGGAAACCACGCGCUCGUUAGGCCCCGUCGGGCGCCGGCCGACCUAAUUAUCUUCGUUCUGGUUGACCUCGGAUCAGGUAGGAAUACCCGCUGAACUUAAGCAUAUCAAUAAGCGGAGGA
rnacentral:misc_RNA from 1 species